ACUCCUACGGGAGGCAGCAGUGGGGAAGUAUUGCACAAUGGGGGAAACCCUGAUGCAGCCAUGCCGCGUGUGUGAAGAAGGCCUUGGGUUGUAAAGCACUUUCAGUAGGGAGGAAGGUAGUGUAGUUAACACCUGCACUAUUUGACGUUACCUACAGAAGAAGCACCGGCUAACUCCGUGCCAGCACGCCGCGGUAAUACGGAGGGUGCGAGCGUUAAUCGGAAUUACUGGGCGUAAAGCGCAUGCAGGCGGCCUGUUAAGUCAGAUGUGAAAGCCCGGGGCUUAACCUCGGAAUUGCAUUUGAAACUGGCAGGCUAGAGUCUUGUAGAGGGGUUAGAAGUUUCAGGUGUAGCGGUGAAAUGCGUAGAGAUCUAGAAGGAAUACCAGUGGCGAAGGCGGCCCCUGGACAAAGACUGACGCUCGACGAUGCGAAAGCGUGGGACGCAAACAGGAUUACGAUACCCCGUGGUAGACUGUCA
rnacentral:rRNA from 1 species